rnacentral:rRNA from 1 species
AAUAUUGGACAAUGGGGGCAACCCUGAUCCAGCCAUGCCGCGUGUGUGAAGAAGGUCUUCGGAUUGUAAAGCACUUUAAGUUGGGAGGAAGGGCUUUAGGUUAAUACCCUGAAGUUUUGACGUUACCAACAGAAUAAGCACCGGCUAACUCUGUGCCAGCAGCCGCGGUAAUACAGAGGGUGCAAGCGUUAAUCGGAAUUACUGGGCGUAAAGCGGCGGUAGGGGGGUCAGGAAGAUGGGUGUGAAAACCCCGGGCUUUACCUGGGAACUUCUUUUAUAACCGCUUAGCUAGAGGAAGGUAGGGGGUAGUGGAAUUUCCUGUGUAGCGGUGAAAUGCGUAGAUAUAGGAAGGAACACCAGUGGCGAAGGCGACUACCUGGACUGAUACUGACACUGAGGUGCGAAAGCGUGGGGAGCAAAC